CUGUACUUCUCUGGCCUCAGCUCUGCGCUCCAACCCCUCCCAUCUGAGAGAGCUGGACCUGAGCUACAAUCAUCCAGGAGACUCAGGAAUGAAGCUGCUCUCGGCUGGACUGAAGGAUCCAGGCUGGAGACUGGACACUCUCAGGGUGGAGCCAGCUGGAGUCCGAUGGUUGAGACCAGGUCUGAGGAAGUAUUCCUGUCAACUCACAAUCGACACAAACACAGUGAACACAAACAUCCAACUGUCUGACAACAACAGGAAGGUGACAC